GUGAAGGCCUGGGGUGAUGUCAUAGGCCACUCCUGACUGACUGAGAGGCCAAGUGCUGAAACCGCAAGCUGGGAAUGAACCAAGUCAAACUGGGGAGCUGGAAUUCUGGACGAGAUCACCUGAUGCCUGAGUUUCUGGGGCUGCUUCCCCCUCUCCAGAACUUCUGCUCUCACUUCAAAUUUACUGAGGACCCUCAUAACAACAACAACAAUAAAGAGCAACUGCUGGUAGACCACACCUGUGUGCCCAACACCAAGCUGAGAGCUCCACACCCUGCCGGUGCAGUCUGAGUUAUUCUCCUCUUUCCAGACGCGGAUACUGAGACUCAAGAGGCCACCCCAGUGUGGACCGCUGGUGCACGACAGAAUCGGGAUUCUGACCAGAGCUGUCUGGUCCCAGAGCCUGUGCUUGUGACUGUGAUGUGAUGCAGGAGAGUGGACUAUACCAGCGUGUAGACUGCCUGGAACAAAUAGAAACCCAGCUGAGUUCCUGCAAUUUACAUAGAAGAAAGAGAAUGCCUUUGGGGAGGUUGCGAUCACCAGACGGCUGGCCCUCAGCAACACUGAAGCCCAGAAGUCGGAUUGCCCAGCGGCUUAUGGGGAGUGACCCCUUUGUUUCUCUGAAGCCGUCUCCUCCUAAUCCCCUUAGCUCUAUAAAAGCCCGCUGCUUUCUGUUCUUGGGGAGACAGACUCCAGCAAACCCAGGCUCCCAUCCACUCAUUUUGGCCAAUUUAAUUAAAUCUUUCUCCAUCUCCAAGCACCGGUGUCUCAGUGUUUGGCUUGCUGUGCAUCGGGCACACAAGCUUGAGAUUAAGAGGUUCAGUAUCGAUCAUUCUGUUUAAUUGCCUGAAACACAAGGCUCAAAUGAUCCUGAGAAGAAGACUGGCUCGCACACAGCCUAGUAGAGCUCAGUGCUGGACCGCUGUGAAAAAUUCCAAUCCAAUGGUGGCUUGUUUAUUUUAAAUUAUUCAAAAUCAUUUUAAAGCCUUAAAAAUGGAAGUAGUUGCAACUUCAUGUGGUGAAAUAACAUGGGUAUUUGAGAAGAGAAAUGUGAUAUUGUUUAUAAUGAUAAUAAUAUCGGCCACCACGUACUAGCCCUUACUGUGUUCCAGGUUUUCUACUAA
rnacentral:lncRNA from 1 species